UCUAGCUAUAACAUGUAUGUCAGACAUCGAUUGUCUAAAUUUCCAGUGUCUCCUUAUUUUAUGGUUUUGGGGUACAAGUAAAGUUUAUAUUCAACACGAUCAUGACAAGCAAUUAAUGAAGCUUUUCUUGUGGAACUGAAGUACUAGAGGCUUGUGCUUCACUAUAUUGUAAGUGUUUUUUUUUACUAUCGUUGAUUUUGUGGUAUUGGUAGGGAUCUUUGGACUUCAAUACUAUCUUUUGAAAGAGUUACUCUAUUUAAUAAUUGUUUGUAUUGUUUAAGAUUUAGUGUUUUUACUUGAAUUAUUUUUUAGUUUUCAAAGCUAUGAGUUAUAAAAUUAUUGUCAGUAUUUAUAAAAAAAUAUCAUGUUUUUGUAUCGUGAAAACUUAGUGUUUGUUUAUGUUUUUAAUUUUAAUUACUAUCUCCAUUUUUAAUUAUAUAUUUUCAUUUUCUUUUCUACAAAUAUUAAGAAUACUAUCUCCAUCCUUAUUUAUAAGUUUUCAUUUUUUUUUCUCUAUGAAUAUUAAGAAAAGUAUGUAUUGAUUAUAAUGUGUCAAUUUUUUAUGUUGAUGUUUAUAAAAUACCUUUUAUACAUAAAUAUUUUAAAUUUGAUUUUUUUUUCUUUUUUUCAACAUAAAUAGUAUUAAUAAGGGAUAUGUUUGAAAAUAAAAUAAAAUAAAUACACCUAUUAAUUAGAAAUUUUACAUGUAAUAAAGUAAAAAUAAAAUACAUACACCUAUUACUUAGUACGUUGACAAAUGCAAAAUGCGUAAAUUACUUAUAUUUUUAU